rnacentral:tRNA from 1 species
GCCCCCGUAGUAUAAAUCAAUACACCAGUCUUGUAAACUGGAAACGGACACCUUUCCCUGGGGCA